rnacentral:tRNA from 1 species
GGAUUGUGGCUCAGUGGUAGAGCGCUUGCCUCACGUGUGAGACACUGGGUUCGAUUUUUAGCACCA